AGGAUGAACGCUGGCGGCGUGCUUAACACAUGCAAGUCGAACGAAGCAGUUUAUUACGAUCCUUUCGGGGUGACGAUUUACUGACUGAGUGGCGGACGGGUGAGUAACGCGUGGGUAACCUGCCUUGUACAGGGGACAACAGUUGGAAACGACUGCUAAUACCGCAUAAGCGCACAGCUUCGCAUGAAGCAGUGUGAAAGUAUUUUCGGUACAAGAUGGACCCGCGUCUGAUUAGCUAGUUGGUGAGGUAACGGCCCACCAAGGCGACGAUCAGUAGCCGACCUGAGAGGGUGACCGGCCACAUUGGGACUGAGACACGGCCCAAACUCCUACGGGAGGCAGCAGUGGGGAAUAUUGCACAAUGGGCGAAAGCCUGAUGCAGCCGACGCCGCGUGAGCGAAGAAGUAUUUCGGUAUGUAAAGCUCUAUCAACAGGGAAGAUAAUGACGGUACCUGACUAAGAAGCACCGGCUAAAUACGUGCCAGCAGCGGC
rnacentral:rRNA from 1 species